ACCAGGGGUUAGAUGAUUUCUGGGGUCCCCUCUGGUUCUCUUGUUCUAGAUCUAACACAAAACCCUGCUUUGAAUCUCCAUCAAUCUUUUGACAUAUUUUCAUAGCAUAUGAAUUGGAAUCACUUAUUUACUUAUACUAGAUUGAAAUAUGGCAAGAAACUGUAGCUUCAGUGUUUUCUAUAAUUUAUGUGAUUUGCCUUUCAAGCCCCACCCCCAGCUCCCACUGGAUAGUGGAGGAAACGAUGAAUUGAAUCCAAUCCAAUCCUUGGAGCCAUCUUUUCAGUAACUAUCUCUUUUUGGGGGGACUCAUUCCUUUAUCCUUUCUCCAGUUUCCUCCUCUCCAAGAUGGUACCGUGGAAGCUUGUGCAACUUCAAGCACUGGGGCCCAGUAGGACUCUGAGUUCCUGCAGGUUCUUGGGUGUGUGUGGUGGGCGUUCUGCUGACACUGACUUUGGGUGCUGGGGUCUGUAACUACUGUAACUUGUGCUGUGUUCUCUCUGCUUCCCUGGGUCCUCCCCGCCAAUGUGGCCCCACCUCAGCUCUGGCUGGCACUGGUGCUCCUGAGAUGUGGGGGUGACUUCUCUUUGACCCUGGUUUGGGUCACUCAGCCUCAUUGCCACAAUGGUGUCCUUCUCUGGCAGCUACCCAGCCAGACUCUCAGUGACCUCCCAUCCACCCCCGGGGUCUUGUGGAAACUUCUCCAUCUUUUCUGUAUCUCAAGAGGGCUGAGAGCCCAGGGUUGGUACAGGGCACCCUGGGAGACAUUCGUUCCCUAUAGACUGAAACAGGAACUUUACUCUUCCUCAGGCUGUCAGAGAACUUUGACCUCAAAGACUUUAGCCCCAAGACAGGAGGUCAGGACACAUUUGUCUCCCAACCUGUCUCGCCAUCUCUGUGUCUUUACACAAUUCCCUGAGCCAGAAGAGAAUUUCUGGUACUUUUUCUUUUCAUCAGGCUUUCUUGGAGCUUUCUAUGACUCACAUCCUGCUCCUUUCGGCCACCCCCCGCAUCCCCGUGGUUUAAUCUAAGAGCAAGGCAGUGGUUAUCAACUUCUGAGUUACACUCAACGCUUACUGGGUUAAAACAAAACAUGCGCAUUCCCUCCUGGUUUCAGUGGGUCAGGAACCGGGGAGCUAAAGCUGACGUGAGGUCGCUGUCGUCUGAGACCCCCACUGGGGCUGGAGCACUGGAUUUGACAACGAUGAUCAGGUCGCUCAAAAGUUUUUCUUUCUUUUUUUAAGCCUAGAAAGCUUGGAGCUUGAAAGGUGUAGCAGAAGUCCCAUCAAAGAGAUCUGAAUUCAAAUCCUGUCUUUCAACUUCUUUCCUAAGUGAUCUUGGGCGAGUCAGCUGCCCUCUCUACCUCAGUUCCAUCAGCUGCUAGGUUGAUAUAAUAAAGCCUGUCUUUUGUGGGAGCUGCGACAGUUCAGCGAGAUAGUGUGUGAAGCAGUGAUGAUAGUGCUCGGCACAUAGUUGGGGGCUGCGGGACCUGGAGGGGCAGGGCUGUCCGGUGGGCACGGGUCCACACAGCCUCCGCACCUGCCUCUGUGGGCGCAUCUCACACGGGGGCCCACGCUCACAUUCUCCAUUCUCUAGCUCUGGCCUGGCCCCUCACCUGGGCCAUGAUGUUCACUGCUUUCUUGACAUUCUCUUUACUGCUUAGUGUCAUUUUUCAUCCUUGCCUCGCCGUUCAGAUUUGGUUCACAUUUAUGUCAUCCCAGCCAAGACUCUGAUCCCCUCAGAAGCUGAGUCUGGCCCCAAAUCCUGGUAAUGGCACCUCGGGGCGCUUGGUUAAUAGCCAAAUGGUCAUGUACCGCCCCCCCCUCCCCAAUCUUCUUACCCCAGCACUGCUCUCGUGAGCUGCAAGAACUCAAUCACAGUAAUGUAAGAAUCUAGGUCAGGACAAGAGAGUCAGACAUGAGCCUGUCCCUUGGCCAUAUCUGGUGCUGCAGGAAUGUCAUCCAUCUCCCUUCAUAACAUGGCCCCUUGCAUCGUAGGAUAGAACUCCAAGAAUGAGAGAUCUCCUGUCACCUGGGAAUCUGGAGUGUAUUUCAGUCGGAGUUUUUUCAGAGAAUCAGAACUUCUAAGAGUCAUAUAGAAUCAGAGAUUGUAAUGACCAUAUACAGUUGUGGGCACUGGGGGAGAGGUCUGUACAAGCCUGUUGCCUUUGUGUCUGGUAUUGGACCUGAAAUCAACUGGGCUGGCAGUAGGGAAGGAAAGCUGGAUGUGAAGUUGGCAGAGCAAGGACAAACUGCAACACAUGAGGGCAAAAGGAAACUCAUGUUUGUCUCUUGCUGUCCACAACCUCAAUGGUGUGAGUGACCUGCAGGAGAAGCUGGCACCCUUUGCAUGUAGCUGCACAGACACCUGGUCCAGGACACUCAGAGAAGCUGGAAGAGGAUUUCCAGCAGGUGCCAGAGGAGCUGUGGGCCUGGGUGCUAUCUCACCCCGCCAAGGGAGCUGGUAGGUCAGUGACGUUGUGUGUGAACUGCUCCAGUGUCUGACGUGCUAUACUGACGGUCAGAACAUGGAGACAGCUCUCGCUUCAUUCGCCUCUUCAAAUCUCUUCUAAGUUUCUCUUGCGCCCAGUUUAACCCAGAACCAUACAAAGAUCCCUUUGUAUCUUGCCUAUGAACAGACAAAUGCAAGGUCACUACGCAAAGCACAGAGGUACCAAAUAUCCCCCUCCUGCUGCUGCUUUCCCACUUACGGCUUUAGGCGUGAUCUGUUCUUCCUUCCUUCUAGACAAGAUGGAGAUGGACGAUUAUAGAAUUCUCUCCUGCUUGAGAUGCUUCCUGGCAGCGUCCAAUCCAGAACAAAGCCCUACUUCCUUGAAAUCUCCUCCAAAUCACCUAACAUAAGCCCAAACCCUAUAAUUUCUUUCUAAGACUCUCUUGAUGAGACAUUGAUGUACAUUUUCCUUCACUUCAAAGAGCAAUAAAUU
rnacentral:lncRNA from 1 species